UUUAUGAUUUGGGGCAUUUUUCCUAUUUUUAUUACCUCCCCUUGAUGCUCUUCAUUAAGGAAAUCACAAAGAGCUUAUCUAAGUUUACUUCCUGGAUUAUGCUGAAUUCAGAUUUCUACACGGAUUUUGCAAAUUUUUAGUAUAUAGAUACAAUGACAGUCAGAGAUUUUAUGCUAAAUGGGCAUGUGAUGCUUGGAUGUGUCCCUUCAAACCAAGUCCACGUUUAAAAUUUGCUGAAUAGCGACAUUGUUUGGGGAAAAUACUCUGGCAGAAAAGAGUCUAAACUGUGGAUAGACAUCAGUCUGACAUCUGUCUGUUUAUUUCCAUAAGUGAAGUUUGUAUCAACUGACUGAAGGAUCAGUGUUAAAGGAUAACACUACAAUGGAAACAGCUGUGAGUUGUUUCUUUUGAAAAUGACUGCUUGAUGAUAAAGUUUCAAACAACUAUGAAGUGAGUGGAUGUUCUAGAGAGAAAAGGACCCUCAGCACAUGUAUGAGAAACAGAUUUUACUUUUAAAGUGGCCCAUGUAAUGUUGAAAAGGAUGAAAUCCUGUAUCUGUCAAAAUGUAACAACAAUU
rnacentral:lncRNA from 1 species